GAAUCAUUCCAUUCUUUAACUCAUGCUUCAAAUGAUUCCAUGGGUGUUCCAACCAAAGCUGCACACUCAUUCAAAGAGGACAACCAUCCCUGAUAGAGGAGAACUGGUCUUUGGUCAAGGGUAUACAAGUAGCUGCACUCCCUUGCUAGGACCUCCAAACAGGCUUGCAGUUGCCUCAACCAGAAAAAAAAAAAAAACUCUUGCCUAUUUCUACCAUAAAAGUUGUUCUGAAAUAAUGUUU
rnacentral:snRNA from 1 species